AGUUCGGAUUGAAGGCUGAAAUUCGCCUUCAUGAAGCCGGAAUUGCUAGUAAUGGCAGGUCAGAAUACUGCCGUGAAUACGUUCCCGGGCCUUGUACACACCGCCCGUCACACCAUGAGAGUUGGGAAUACCCGAAGCCCGCGAGCUAACCGAAAGGGAGCAGCGGUCGAAGGUAGAAUCAAUGAUUGGGGUGAAGUCGUAACAAGGUAUC
rnacentral:rRNA from 1 species